GGCUGUGUGGUCUAGUGGUAUGAUUCUCGCUUAGGAUGCCAGAGGUCCCGAGUUCAAUUCUCGGCACAGCCC